rnacentral:piRNA from 1 species
UCACAAGAACUAGCCUCCGUCCUGAGAA